GGAAGGGCUUUUUCUUCCUUGGUGGUCUGCUCAUCUCUCUCUCCCAUGGUGCAUGCGCAGAAAAGGGAAGUAUUUGAUUGGAGGGUCACUUUGUAAGGGUUGCAUUUUUAGAGAAAAACUUUUUUUUUUUUUUUUUUUGAGACAGGAUUUCUCUGUGUAGUCUUGGCUGUCCUGGAGCCCACUCUGUAGACCAGACAGGCUGAAACUCCCAGAGAUCCCCCUGCCUCUGUUUCCUGAUUGCUAGGAUUAAAGGCAUGGGCUUACCACCAUCCAGAGAAAAGAUUCUUGAUAUAACUCAACAAAGGCUGUAAAAAGAGUAAUGGCAGCUAUCAUUUAUUGAGUAUUUACUACAAGCCAGAAGCUGUGCUAACUGCUUUAAAUAUCAACACUCAUUAAAACUUCAGAGGAACCCCCUGAGAUAGCAUCUUAUAAUCCUCAUUUCAUAACAAGGACCUAAAAAGGAGGAAGUGGCUUUCUCAGGUUAACUCUAGGUUAUUCCUCUGGUUAAUGUCACCCUUCAAGCUACUUUUGAUUUCCAGACCAGGUUAGCUCACAAUGGUAGGCAAGGUUAGCUUCCCAGAACAGAUCAGAUUAACUCCCAGAAAGAGACAAGGUUCACUCACCCAUAUAGACCAAGUUAACUAAUCCAUGCCAACCAGCUUAGCUCCCUGAAACAAACCAGGUUAGUUCCUCCAUACAAGCAAGGCUAGCUCUUCAAUACAGAUCAGGUUAGCUCACCCAUGUAGAGCAGUCUAGGUCCCUGAUACAGUGUUGGUAUUUACAGACCAGGUUAGCAAGCACAUGCUGAGCAGGCGAACUUUCCCAUGUAGACCAAGUUAGCUCCUCUGUGCUAUUCUUUCACACUCUUUUCUGUUGUCCCCACAAAAUUAUGUCAUCUCUGCUCCAUUGCUUCCUGUGUGCCCCGCACCUAAUAAAGUGCUAGCCACACAGUGAUUGUCAACAAAUGAGAACCAAAUCAAUUAUCAGUCACCCCACAUACCAGUCACCUGCCUUAAUGGAUUCAAACCCGGGUCUGGCGUUUCUCUGGUCUGUUCCCAAGCUUCCUUUCAAGAGCAGCAAACCUAACACUGCAUUUCUGGGUAGCGCAAGCACAAUAAAUGUGUGUCUGGGGGAAAGGGUGGGAGAGUGGAAGUCUUAAUAUUUCAAAAUGCUGUCUUAAAACCUUUUAGGAGAGCCUUUAACUUCUCAUUUAUGUUUAUCUGCUCAAUGCUUCCACUUCAUGUUACAAUUUAGGGAUAUUUUUUAACCCAUAUCUAAUAAUUGGUAAUUGAAUCUAAUAGCCCUGAGAGAAUUGGAAUAAACCAGAUAGAAUUGAUGUGUCUUUGCACAUCACCGCAGAUGAGAGUCUGCAGAGUCGUUUAAUGUUCCUAGCACUCUCCAAGUCUGUACCUCAGGCAUUGGCAGUGACAGGUUUUUGACACAUUUCAAGAAUAUUUGGUUAUCAUGAUCAGUGACACAAAAUUCUCAGGAAUUUUUUCCACGUUGAUUUUGCUAGACAUUUAAAUAACUGUGUUACCUGAUGCACUGUGGAGGAAGAAGAGGCUGGAUCAAGAUGGAGGCAGAAGAUUUUAAAGUUUGGAAAUUACUUGUCUUAGUCAGGGUCUCUAGUCCUGCACAAACAUCAUGACCAAGAAGCAAGUUGGGGAGGAAAGGGUUUAUUCAGCUUACACUUCCACACUGCUGUUAUCACCAAAGGAAGUCAGGACUGGAACUCAAGCAGGUCAGGGAGCAGGAGCUGAUGCAGAGGCCAUGGAGGGAUGUUACUUACUGGCUUGCUUCCCCUGGCUUGCUCAGCCUGCUCUCUUAUAGAACCAAGACUACCAGCCCAGGGAUAGCACCAUGCACAAUGGGCCCUCUCCCCUUGAUCAUCAAUUGAGAAAAUGCCUUACGGUUGGAUCUCAUGGAGGUAUUUCCUCAAAGGAGGCUUCUUGCUCUGUGAUAACUCCAGCCUGUGUCAUAAAACCAGCCAGUACAUCACCGUGUGUGUGUGUGUGUGUGUGUGUGUGUGUGUGUGUGUGUGUGUGUGUGUAUAUAUUUUUUUUUUCCCAGCUAAUGUGUGUGCACACAGGUGCACUUGCACCAUGGCAUGUGUGUGGAGGUCAGAGGACAACUUCUGGGAGUUGGGUCUUACUUUCCUCCUUCCUGAGUCAGCUGUCUCUUGUGGUUGGGGUUGCUGUGUUGCUAUGCUGGGUGUUCCAGGCUUGCUGGCCAUGGCUCCCAGGCACUUACUUCUCCUGUCUCCGCCUUUCAUCUUAACAUGGAAGCACUGCGGUCACAGAGGAGAAGCAGCACCACAUUUGGCUGACAUUCAGGCUGUCAGGCUCAACAGCCCGCACCUUUACAUGUGGUGCUGGCUCCCACAAGGCAUUGCUGUUUAAUCGCCAUCCCCAGUGAAGUGUAUUUAGGGACUAGGGAAUUCAAUGAUAACUCUUGUUUAUUUAAAACAUUUACUUCUUUUUAUUAUGUGUUGCUUAGGAUGCCCCCAAACUCCUGGAACCAGACAAUUUUUGAUUCAGACUCUCAAGUAACUAGAACUAUUUCUGUACACCACUACACCUAUCUAAAACCACGUUUCCUCAACAAUGAAUAAUGAAAUCUGGGGUGUGUGUGUGUGUGUGUGUGUGUGUGUGUGUGUGUGUGUAGUAUCAAGAUCCACAAAUCCAAGGAAAAAUGAAAUCGCAAAAUUUUCAGGAAAAGAAAGAAGGAAGGAAGGGGCAAGGAAGAAAGAAAAAACCUUCCUUAUAUGGAUCCUAAUUUAUAAUAUAUACCUGUAUUUAAGUAAACAAACAUACAAAUAGCUAUAGUACAACAUUUAGAAUGGAAGACAAGAAAGGAUAGUUUUUUUUUUAAAGAUUUAUUUAUUUAUUAUAAGUAAGUACACUGUAGCUGUCUUCAGACACUCCAGAAGAGGGAGUCAGAUCUCGUUACGGAUGGUUGUGAGCCACCAUGUGGUUGCUGGGAUUUGAACUCCCAACCUUUGGAAGAGCAGUCAGGUGCUCUUACCCACUGAGCCAUCUCACCAGCCCCGAAAGGAUAGUUUUUAAAAAGACAAGGGUUACAGAGAUGCCUCAGCAGUUGAGAGCACUGGCUGCUCUUCUGAGGAACCAGGAUUCAAUUCCCAGCACCCACAUGGCAGUUUACAACUGUCUGUGACUCUAGUUCUAGGAAAUCUGACACCCUCUGCUGGCCUCUGAGGGCACUGCAUGCACCUGCUACACAGACAGGAGAUGUGUCUGUCUCAUAAAAUCACUCAUACAAUCAAAUUAAAUUU
rnacentral:lncRNA from 1 species